UGGAGUGUUCCCCAUGCCUACCAGAACUAGAAGCAUUCCUCCGCGAAAAUGCUCCAACGGCACCAGAAAACCUGUCCCGAAUAUCCUGUCCCAUUGAUGUCCUUCCCGGUCUUUCAGCAGAUGGCACAGCAUUUAGCGGCGCACUUCCACCAAUAUUACGUCCUCUAGAGCUAGCACCGAUCUGAGGAUACUUCAAAAUGGUCCAAUCAAACACAUAGUCAAACUGAUAACCUUCACGAAUAAACAAG
rnacentral:misc_RNA from 1 species